rnacentral:rRNA from 1 species
AGUGAACGCUGGCGGUAGGCCUAACACAUGCAAGUCGAACGGCAGCACAGUAAGAGCUUGCUCUUACGGGUGGCGAGUGGCGGACGGGUGAGGAAUACAUCGGAAUCUACUUUUUCGUGGGGGAUAACGUAGGGAAACUUACGCUAAUACCGCAUACGACCUACGGGUGAAAGCAGGGGAUCUUCGGACCUUGCGCGAUUGAAUGAGCCGGUGUCGGAUUAGCUAGUUGGCGGGGUAAAGGCCCACCAAGGCGACGAUCCGUAGCUGGUCUGAGAGGAUGAUCAGCCACACUGGAACUGAGACACGGUCCAGACUCCUACGGGAGGCAGCAGUGGGGAAUAUUGGACAAUCGGCGCAAGCCUGAUCCAGCCAUACCGCGUGGGUGAAGAAGGCCUUCGGGUUGUAAAGCCCCUUUGUUGGGAAAGAAAAGCAGCAGGUUAAUACCCCGCUGUUCUGACGGUACCCAAAGAAUAAGCACCGGCUAACUUCGUG